ACUCAAAUGAAUUGACGGGGGCCCGCACAAGCGGCGGAGCAUGCGGUUUAAUUCGAUGCAACGCGAAGAACCUUACCAAGGUUUGACAUAUAGGGAAAACUCAUAGAGAUAUGAGGUCCGCAAGGGCCCUAUACAGGUGGUGCAUGGCUGUCGUCAGCUCGUGUCGUGAGAUGUUGGGUUAAGUCCCGCAACGAGCGCAACCCUCGUUCUAUGUUGCCAGCGGAUAAUGCCGGGGACUCAUAGGAGACUGCCGGGGUCAACUCGGAGGAAGGUGGGGACGACGUCAAGUCAUCAUGCCCCUUAUAUCUUGGGCUACACGCAUGCUACAAUGGCCAGUACAAAGGGCUGCGAUACCGUAAGGUGGAGCGAAUCCCAUAAAGCUGGUCUCAGUUCGGAUCGGGGUCUGCAACUCGACCCCGUGAAGUCGGAGUCGCUAGUAAUCGCAGAUCAGCAUUGCUGCGGUGAAUACGUUCCCGGGCCUUGUACACACCGCCCGU
rnacentral:rRNA from 1 species